CUACGGGGUGCUGCAGUGGGGAAUCUUGCGCAAUGGGCGAAAGCCUGACGCAGCAACGCCGCGUGCGGGAUGAAGGCCUUCGGGCUGUAAACCGCUUUCAGCAGGAACGAAAAUGACGGUACCUGCAGAAGAAGGAGCGGCCAACUACGUGCCAGCAGCCGCGGUGACACGUAGGCUCCAAGCGUUGUCCGGAUUUAUUGGGCGUAAAGAGCUCGUAGGCGGUUGAGUAAGUCGGGUGUGAAAACUCUGGGCUUAACCCGGAGACGCCAUCCGAUACUGCUCUGACUAGAGUUCAGGAGGGGAGUGGGGAAUUCCUAGUGUAGCGGUGAAAUGCGCAGAUAUUAGGAGGAACACCGGUGGCGAAGGCGCCACUCUGGACUGAAACUGACGCUGAGGAGCGAAAGCAUGGGUAGCAAACAGGAUUAGAUACCCUUGUAGUC
rnacentral:rRNA from 1 species